rnacentral:lncRNA from 1 species
UUAUGUAUAGUGGUUAGUAGUCAUGAAAUUUAAAAUGUGAAUAGAAGAAUACUCAAACUCAUUAAUAUCAUCAAUAUAAAUAAAGAAUUUUACAUAAAAAAAACUAAAGACAAUUAAACUCGUAUAACACAAUUCUUUAGCAGCUCUCUAUACACUAAGUUCAUGAGUUGUUCUCUGUUGUUAUCGCGAUUAAAACCCAAGAUCCAAUUACACAAGAUCUCAAACCCUUUAAAGACAUUACACACAACCAAAAUAAUAGUUGCAGAACCAAUUAUCAAAUGUAAAGAGGAUUCUAAUACGGGUAAAUCCUUGUAUGUUGCAUAGUUAAGGCUCUUUGGAAAUUUAUAUGAGUUGCCAUGUUGUGAGGUUGUAGGGUUUACGAAUGAUGUGAAAAGUGUGACAAAUAAGAGAAGUUUUGGAAUGGUAGCCAUGAUUUGAGAAAAUAUUUG